UCUUCCUUCCUCACCUCUUGGAAGUGAAAUUUUCAAGUUUAUUGAAAUGCCUUAAAAAAACAAAAAAACAAAAAAAGACAGGAUCUCACGUAGCUCAGGCUGUCAUCGAUCCUGCUAUGUAAGAGAAUGACGCUGAACUCACAAUCCUUUUCUCCUCUCCACCUCCCUCCCAAGUACUUAAGUGAAUUUGUUCAAGACUUUGCAACUCUCCAAUGAAGCAGUCCCCUAACAACACACCCCUUCCUAUUACUGGGCUCAUCGAUGGACUCCUUCCUGAUCCAAUAGUUGGGUCUCCACCUGCUUGGCUGGAAUUGCCAAAGCAAGACUAACCCCAGCUUACUGAGUCCCCCAACUAAUAGCUGUCCCACGUCGCAGGCAGUCGUGUAGGCCUUGAGGUUGCUGUUCUCUUCCAGCAGCCCUGCUCCUUUGGCACAGCUUCAGGCAAAGGAAGGAAAGGCCGGGCAGCACCACACCCAUCACUAGGGACCUGACUCAGUAAAGCUUUGGGGACAAGCCAGACAUCUUUCAGGGACAGGAGGACCAAGAGAAGAUAGGGUCUGUCCCUUGCCUAGUUGUCUCCUUUUGGGAAGAUGAAUUCCCACGUGUUUACUCUCUUGCCCUUUGCCCUACUGAAUCAGCGGACACUUCCAGGGAACCAAACAGUAACUGGGUCUAAUGCAGAGUGGGAAGCCAGAGAUGACUGUGAGACUGCCUCUAGCUUCAUGAAUCUAUGACAGAAUGGGGGCCAGUCACGGCCUCACUUCCACUCGAGUUUCUGGAGAAAAGAGAGAAAGGGAGGUAAGGAGAACAUGGAAUGAAGAAACGCUGCCCUGCCUCCCCUGCUGGCAGACAGACCUGCAAAGAUGUCAGCUGAGCCCACCUGCUGGACCCACCUCGCUUUCCCCACCCCCUCAGGGACAGUCUAUUGCUGCCCCGGAUAUCGUCUGAGAUAAGUGGUCCAGGAAGCGAGCCAGGAGGCACACACCUGCAAUCCCAGCACACGGGAGGCAGAGGCAUUAGGAACAUGAGUUCCAGGCCAGCCUUGGCCCUACG